AGCAACAGUUGGUUGUCAUGCUCCAGGGAUUUCAUGGAAAAUAGACGAUGUUUCGUAAACAAGACUGAAUAUAAACAUCGUAUCCAAUUUACAUUUCAAAUGAGAGUUACAACCAGGACGUGGAAAACACGAGGAAAACAUAGGACACGAUGUUACAAAAUAAAGUCAUCCUCGUUGUUUCAAUCUUGAAUGUGACGCCACGAAACAAUGGACAGCAAUCCCCAUUGGGAAUAUUCUUGUUCCCUAUCCGCUGUCAUGACUUGUUAUCAUUUAGUCGCCUCAUACGACAUCCACGGCACGAUAAGAAAUGGCGGGAAUCACACGCUGAGAACGUCACAAUCUAUACGAUAAAGAUAUAAAUAAUUUAUUGGAGUUGUAAAUAAAUAAAACAGCCGAGCCGAAGCGCCGGUUGCGAGCCGUGAUGCAACGACGUUCCGGCGACGUUAUAAUAAGGGAAUAGAAGUCAUCAAACUGGAACACAAUAAAAUCAUGACGAUCGCUAUCACCUCCAAGACAAAGGACUUCUUAGCUCGAGAUGAAAUAAGUUCUAAGACAUGCCUGUGCUAUUUUUUUAUAGUAGUAAAUUAACUCACUUUAUAUAAAAUACAUUUUAUAAGACAUUACAAAAAAUAUAUACUGAAAAAGGUCUGCUACUAGACUGAAACUAUAGUCGACUCUUUCAGCGAUAAUCACUCGUGAGUGACCCGUAUAUAAAAAAUAUAAACCAGAUGUUGCCCGGGGCUCCGCUCCCUUGGGAAUUUUGAGAUAAAAUAUAGCCAAUAGCAAUCUUGGAUAAUGUACCUUUCUAAUGGUGAAAGAAUUUUUGAAAUCGUUUUGGUAGUUUCGGAGAUUACACGCCUCAAACAUACAAACUC